GUCCACGCCGUAAACGAUGGAUGCUAGCCGUUGGCGGGUUUACUCGUCAGUGGCGCAGCUAACGCAUUAAGCAUCCCGCCUGGGGAGUACGGUCGCAAGAUUAAAACUCAAAGGAAUUGACGGGGGCCCGCACAAGCGGUGGAGCAUGUGGUUCAAUUCGAAGCAACGCGCAGAACCUUACCAGCCCUUGACAUCCCGGUCGCGGGAACGAGAGAUCGAUCCCUUCAGUUCGGCUGGACCGGAGACAGGUGCUGCAUGGCUGUCGU
rnacentral:rRNA from 1 species